rnacentral:rRNA from 1 species
GACAGAGGCCCCGAGCGUUAGGCGGAAUCACUGGGCUUAAAGCGUGUGUAGGCGGGCCCGUAAGUGUCUUGUGAAAUCCCACGGCUCAACCGUGGAACUGCUGGGCAUACUGCGGGUCUUGGGCCAACUAGGGGCAGCCGGAACAAGCGGUGGAGCGGUGAAAUGCGUAGAUAUCGCUUGGAACGCCGAAGGUGAAAACAGGUCGCUGGGAGUGCGCCGACGCUGAGACACGAAAGCCAGGGGAGCAAACGGG